AUUGAACGCUGGCGGCAUGCCUUACACAUGCAAGUCGAACGGCAGCGGGGACUUCGGUCCGCCGGCGAGUGGCGAACGGGUGAGUAAUGUAUCGGAACGUACCUUUCAGUGGGGGAUAACGUAGCGAAAGUUACGCUAAUACCGCAUAUUCUGUGAGCAGGAAAGCAGGGGAGCGCAAGACCUUGCGCUGAUUGAGCGGCCGAUAUCAGAUUAGCGAGUUGGUGAGGUAAAGGCUCACCAAGGCGACGAUAUGUAGCGGGUCGGCGAGGAUGAUCCGCCACACUGGGACUGAGACACGGCCCAGACUCCUACGGGAUGCAGCAGUGGGGAAUUUUGGACAAGGGGGGCAACCCUGAUCCAGCCAUGCCGCGUGAGUGAAGAAGGCCUUCGGGUUGUAAAGCUCUUUCAGCCGGGAAGAAAUCGCACAGGCUAAUAUCCUGUGUGGAUGACGGUACCGGAAUAAGAAGCACCGGCUAACUACGUGCAGCCGCCGCCGUAA
rnacentral:rRNA from 1 species